AGCGAACGCUGGCGGCAGGCCUAACGCAUGCAAGUCGAGCGGACGUAGCAAUACGUCAGCGGCAGACGGGAGAGUAACACGUGGGAACGCGCCCUUCGGUUCGGAAUAACUCAGGGAAACUUGGGCUAAUACCGAAUACGCCCUUACGGGGAAAGAUUCAUUGCCGAAGGAACGGCCCGCGUCCGAUUAGCUUGUUGGUGGGGUAACGGCUCACCAAGGCGACGAUCGGUAGCUGGUCUGAGAGGAUGACCAGCCUCACUGGGACUGAGACACGGCCCAGACUCCUACGGGAGGCAGCAGUGGGGAAUACUGGACAAUGGGCGCAAGCCUGAUCCAGCCAUGCCGCGUGGGUGAUGAAGGCCCUAGGGUUGUAAAGCCCUUUCGGCGGGUAAGAUAAUGACGGUACCCGCAGAAGAAGCCCCGGCUAACUUCGUGCCAGCCGCCGCAGUAACAC
rnacentral:rRNA from 1 species